CAAACCCACAGCAGCACUGUUUGCCAUUUAAUGUUGCUUUCUUUGUUUGCUCUAAAACGUAGUUCAUCUUGAAAAUGGACUAUAUUUAUUUGUUUAUUCACCAGUUUUUGUUUGCCUAGAUAGAGCGAAUGGAUAUAAACAAACAUUUGCAUGACCUCUUUUUCAGAUUUUUUCUUUCUGCCUAAUUCCCAGCUCUUUCCGGUCUGACUAGAGUCCUGAAUAUAAAGUAUGCUAGUUACUGCAGAGCUCCACAGAUAUGGGAACUUCAUAUUCCUAAUUGAUAAUGAAAUUCCAUAAAACAUAAAUCGUCUCUAGAGUUUAGCAAAAAUGGAGUAUUUAUCAUGUGAAAAGCAGUACUGGGGACUGGCCACUCCAAUAUGUGCACUGUUCACAAGAUGAGUUGCAACCUCCAACUUGACUAGCUUCAGACAACCCCUGCUACGCUUUCUGUACCUGUAAAUCCAUUGUUACCUGUUCUAGAAUUGAAUAUGACUGCGAGGAGUUAAAGACUUCAUUGGAGGAAGUAACUGCAGAAGUGAUGGAAAUAGAAACAGCACAAGAAUUAGAAAUGGAG
rnacentral:lncRNA from 1 species